GAACAAGCCAGCAAGCAACAUCCCUCCAUCUGCAUCAGCUCCUGCCUCCAGGUUCCUGCGGUGUUGGAGUUCCUGUCCAGACUUCUUCGAUGAUGGACUACGAUGUGACAGUAUUGUCUUCCAAAUAAAAUAAUUGCACUCAAAUUCUCAUAAGGGACAAGUUGUGGAGAGAUCUCCUGUAGGACAAUGGGAGGUAAUCAGUGCAGAACGAAAAGAAUGAAUAAGCUCAUGCUAGUCGGAAGUUCGGGAGAGGAUCAUCUGGACUAUCUUCGUCUUCAGAUGAUAAGCUGUGAGAACUGACCGUUUCUAAACAGCUCUUCGAACACAAUCAUCUACACGUGCUGGAAAAAAGGCUCGGAAUAUUUGAUAAUGCCGGCAAGUCUAAGUUCACACUACUUACGGUAUACUGCCGAAACAGAGAGACAUAAUAAUUGCCAAGGAGCAAAGACCGCGUACCUUCCGUGUAUGGAAGUGCAUGUGCAACAUGCAUGCAGUAUACACACCAGCGUGUGUGCAUGUAGAGGCCAGAGGUUGACACGGGGUGUCUUGCCCACUAUUUUUGUCAGAUGAAGUCUUCCACCGAUCCUGAUGCUCACAGCUUGACAGCUGACUGUCCAGCAAACUCCUCAGAUCCUCCUAGCUCUGUGUUCCAGAACUUGGAUUAUGGGUCCACAGCCUCAUCUGGUUUUCGUUUGUUUUUGUUGGUUCUGGGAAUUUGAACUCGGAUCCUUAUGCCUGUGCAGCAAGCACUUAUUUGGGGGACCCUGUGAAAUGGAUAGAGAGAAUAUUAACUCCUUUCUACAAGUG